GGGGAAGGGAAAGUUUAAUGAAGGCCGCUGAUUUUCAGCACCUGUCCCAUGCUUCUCACAAUGUGUGUGUAUGGAGAUGUGAACGGGUACGGUUUCCUGGGAGACUGCUGGGGAUGUUUUUCAUUGAGAGGACAACAGCAGAGUGGAAGUGUGUGGCAAUCGCUGUUCCUCUGGUGUUCCUUUUCAUGUUUCUUUUGUUUGAUUUUAUUUCCAAGUGUUUAAUCCUGCGCCCAUGAUAAUGCUGAUUAGUUGAUCAGCCUGUGUUCACUUAGCACUCUGGCCUGUGGCGGUGCUGGUUAGCAGCUUUGUAUAUUUAUUUGUUUGUUUGUUUUGUUUGUCAAAACCUUCCCGAUUGUUUGCCAGGCUAACCCAGCGCUGGAUUUAUGCAUGUUGGGAGGAAGAGCAGGGCUAAUGUUUGCAGUGCCACAUAGUGUGAAAAUUUGAACUUGGUUCUUUGUCUGCACCUGAUUAUUUGUGUGGGGUGUUUCUGACCGACGGUGUGUUUAACCCCUUGCUCUGCCUCAGAAGAGUAAAAUAAUUGUUUUAAGUUUGGGGUUAGUCCUUAACUGUGGGGAAGUUUUAUUGUGCUCAAACAUUCCAUAAUGAAAUCAAUGCAAUAAAUUAUGUUUUGAUACUUCCUAACUUUUCCUUGCUCUGCAUGGUUAAUUCUUAGUAUA